rnacentral:lncRNA from 1 species
AUGGAGCAGCUCCACAUCCAGCACUGCCCCGUUUUCCUCUCCAACAACCUCCAAAGCACCUCACUGCCCUCAGACACACAAAUUUCUGCCUCACAGGUCCCCUUUUUCUCAGUUUUCACCUCACGAGCCUGCAUUUUUAAAAUUUUCCCCUCACAGAUUCCCCUUUUUUCCAAUUUUCAACUCACAGGGUCCUCUUUUUCCAAUUUCCACCUCACAAAUUCCCCUUUUCCCAAUCUUUUCCCAAUUUCCACCUCACAGGUUUCCAUUUUUAAAAUUUUCACCUCACAGAUUCCCUUUUCCCAAUUUUCACCUCACAAAUUUCCCUUUUCCCAACCUUUUCCCAAUUUCCACCUCACCAUUUUCCUUUUUCCCAACUUCCACCUCUUCCAGCUUGACCACCACCCUACAGUGUUUAUCCCAAUUUAAAAAAAGGGCAACUCCUGAAAUCCAGGCACCUCUGAGGGCCUUGAGGAAAAAGUUUUGUUGAUUAAAAACCUUAAAAUUUCACCAACCACCCAAAGAGAAAGGCCCAGAGUGGGAAAAAGGCUGGAAAUGAUGGAGUGGGAAGGGAAAAGGGAGAAAAAAAUCAGAAUAUUCUAUUUCAUUGGAAGUCAAAAGACACAAAAGAGGACAUGAGGCCCCUUUUUACACACCUGGUUAGUCUGAAUAUCCGUGGAUCCGUUACUCCUGGAUUUGUAAUUGCUUCUGAGAUUCCCUAAAAACCACCACGGCAGCCCAGCCACAUCCCAUUCCUCAAAAACCAGGUCCAGCUUGGGCUUUUUGCUUUUGGAGAGGUUUUCUAUCAAAUCACUGUCUGGAAGAGCCAAGCACAGUCCAAGUCAUUGGGUAAGAGACACCAGCAUAGAAAAAUAUUGGGCUGAAAUCUGAUUUUUUUUUGACUUUUUGCAUCAGGCUGAGAGCUCUGGGGUUUGGAUGUCCCAUCUGGUAAAAAUCCCUGUAAAAAUCAGGAACAUCCCAGUGUUCCCAGUGCCUCUGUGCUGGGACAGGCUGAGUUUAAAUUAAAUUAAA